AUGGACUCUGGACUCUACACCCAAACAACCCUCGUCUCCUGUCUAGCCUCCCCUCACUCGCUUGCCAUUACCAAUGUUUAUGCUCCUACCGACCACGCGCUCAAGCAGGAAUUCCUGUCAGAGCUCGCUACCUUUGCCCCCUCUCCUCCCACACCUUGGCUAAUCUUGGGUGAUUUCAAUCUCCUAAGACUUCCCUCGGACAAAAACACGAGUAAUUUCAGGCAGUCCGAAGCAGACAUGUUCAAUUCCUUUAUUAACCAGAGGGCGCUGAUUGAGCUUCCCCUUCCAGAUAGAUGCUACACUUGGUCUAGCAAAAGAGAUCAACCCACUCUCGAAAAAAUUGACAGAGUUUUCAUCAAUGUGGACUGGGAUCUCCUCUUCCCAAACACCACCAUUUCCUCGCUCACUAGAUUCGUCUCUGACCAUGUUCCCCUGCUGAUCACUAUAGAUACCGUCAUCCCUCGCCCGCGCUUUUCCGUUUCGAGCUUAGAUGGACCACUAGGCCGACCUGUCUUAUGGUAG
rnacentral:rRNA from 1 species